GGACUGUCUAACUCAUUCAUGGCGGAAGCGUGAAAUACAAACUCAGUGAGGGCAUUUGAUGUCUGCCAUAUUCUCUCUGAAUGCCCAAGACAUAUCUGUGCUGAGGGAACAGAAGAGAGAGCUGUGGCUGCUGUCUGUGCAAAAGAACGAAUUUGGGUCCCAGAAAGAAGCAGGAGCCCUGGGGGUUUGGCGUCUUCAUCCUUUCUCUGACUCUGAAAUGAGUGCCAAGAUGAACUAAAUGUUUCCGUAACCUUGAAUAUGGCUUUCCACCCACACCAGAGAAUAUAAAUGAAGCUCUGGAAAGAACACAGCCCUGGAAAGGACACAGGGAAAUUGGGCUCGCGUGAUGACUGGAAAAGGAGCAGCACCCUGGCCCCACAGCAGGCAGAAGGUGUUUCUCCAUGGAGUCCCCAUCAGGCAAGGGCAGCGAGUCUUGAGGGCAUGAAGAGCUGGUCUUUUU